rnacentral:rRNA from 1 species
CCUACGGGGUGCAGCAGUGGGGAAUAUUGCGCAAUGGGCGAAAGCCUGACGCAGCGACGCCGCGUGAGGGAUGAAGGUCUUCGGAUCGUACACCUCUGUCAGCAGGGAAGAACGGUCACUGUGCUAAUCAGCAGUGAAUUGACGGUACCUGCAAAGGCAGCACCGGCUAACUCCGUGCCAGCAGCCGCGGUAAUACGGAGGGGGCGAGCGUUAAUCGGAAUUACUGGGCGUAAAGCGCUCGUAGGCGGUAUGUCAAGUCAAGGGUGAAAUCCCCGCGCUCAACGUGGGAACUGCCUUUGAAACGGGCAAACUGGAGUGUGUGAGAGGAGAGUGGAAUUCCAGGUGUAGGAGUGAAAUCCGUAGAUAUCUGGAGGAACAUCAGUGGCGAAGGCGACUAUCUGGCACAUAACUGACGCUGAGGAGCGAAAGCGUGGGUAGCAAACAGGAUUAGAUACCCUUGUAGUC